rnacentral:rRNA from 1 species
AUUGAACGCUGGCGGCAUGCCUUACACAUGCAAGUCGAACGGCAGCACGGGAGCAAUCCUGGUGGCGAGUGGCGAACGGGUGAGUAAUAUAUCGGAACGUGCCCAGUCGUGGGGGAUAACGUAGCGAAAGCUACGCUAAUACCGCAUACGAUCUAUGGAUGAAAGCGGGGGAUCGCAAGACCUCGCGCGAUUGGAGCGGCCGAUAUCAGAUUAGGUAGUUGGUGAGGUAAAGGGCUCACCAAGCCGACGAUCUGUAGCUGGUCUGAGAGGACGACCAGCCACACUGGGACUGAGACACGGCCCAGACUCCUACGGGAGGCAGCAGUGGGGAAUUUUUGGACAAUGGGCGCAAGCCUGA